GGGUGACUGCGUACCUUUUGUAUAAUGGGUCAGCGACUUAUAUUCUGUAGCAAGGUUAACCGUAUAGGGGAGCCGCAGGGAAACCGAGUCUUAACUGGGCGUUAAGUUGCAGGGUAUAGACCCGAAACCCGGUGAUCUAGCCAUGGGCAGGUUGAAGGUUGGGUAACACUAACUGGAGGACCGAACCGACUAAUGUUGAAAAAUUAGCGGAUGACUUGUGGCUGGGGGUGAAAGGCCAAUCAAACCGGGAGAUAGCUGGUUCUCCCCGAAAGCUAUUUAGGUAGCGCCUCGUGAACUCAUCUUCGGGGGUAGAGCACUGUUUCGGCUAGGGGGUCAUCCCGACUUACCAACCCGAUGCAAACUACGAAUACCGAAGAAUGUUAUCACGGGAGACACACGGCGGGUGCUAACGUCCGUCGUGAAGAGGGAAACAACCCAGACCGCCAGCUAAGGUCCCAAAGUCAUGGUUAAGUGGGAAACGAUGUGGGAAGGCCCAGACAGCCAGGAUGUUGGCUUAGAAGCAGCCAUCAUUUAAAGAAAGCGUAAUAGCUCACUGGUCGAGUCGGCCUGCGCGGAAGAUGUAACGGGGCUAAACCAUGCACCGAAGCUGCGGCAGCGACACUAUGUGUUGUUGGGUAGGGGAGCGUUCUGUAAGCCGUUGAAGGUGGCCUGUGAGGGUUGCUGGAGGUAUCAGAAGUGCGAAUGCUGACAUAAGUAACGAUAAUGCGGGUGAAAAACCCGCACGCCGGAAGACCAAGGGUUCCUGUCCAACGUUAAUCGGGGCAGGGUGAGUCGACCCCUAAGGCGAGGCCGAAAGGCGUAGUCGAUGGGAAACAGGUUAAUAUUCCUGUACUUGGUGUUACUGCGAAGGGGGGACGGAGAAGGCUAUGUUGGCCGGGCGACGGUUGUCCCGGUUUAAGCAUGUAGGCGGAUGUUCCAGGUAAAUCCGGAACGUCACUAACGCUGAGGUGUGAUGACGAGGCACUACGGUGCUGAAGUGACAAAUGCCCUGCUUCCAGGAAAAGCCUCUAAGCAUCAGGUAACAUCAAAUCGUACCCCAAACCGACACAGGUGGUCAGGUAGAGAAUACCAAGGCGCUUGAGAGAACUCGGGUGAAGGAACUAGGCAAAAUGGUGCCGUAACUUCGGGAGAAGGCACGCUGAUGGUAAGUGAAGUGACUUGCUCACGGAGCUGAAAUCAGUCGAAGAUACCAGCUGGCUGCAACUGUUUAUUAAAAACACAGCACUGUGCAAACACGAAAGUGGACGUAUACGGUGUGACGCCUGCCCGGUGCCGGAAGGUUAAUUGAUGGGGUUAUCCUCACGGAGAAGCUCUUGAUCGAAGCCCCGGUAAACGGCGGCCGUAACUAUAACGGUCCUAAGGUAGCGAAAUUCCUUGUCGGGUAAGUUCCGACCUGCACGAAUGGCGUAAUGAUGGCCAGGCUGUCUCCACCCGAGACUCAGUGAAAUUGAACUCGCUGUGAAGAUGCAGUGUACCCGCGGCAAGACGGAAAGACCCCGUGAACCUUUACUAUAGCUUGACACUGAACACUGGUCCUUGAUGUGUAGGAUAGGUGGGAGGCUUUGAAGUGUGGACGCCAGUCUGCAUGGAGCCAUCCUUGAAAUACCACCCUUUAAUGGCUGGGGUUCUAACGUGGGCCCCUAAUCCGGGUUGCGGACAGUGUCUGGUGGGUAGUUUGACUGGGGCGGUCUCCUCCUAAAGAGUAACGGAGGAGCACGAAGGUCAGCUAAUCCUGGUCGGACAUCAGGAGGUUAGUGCAAUGGCAUAAGCUGGCUUGACUGCGAGCGUGACGGCGCGAGCAGGUGCGAAAGCAGGUCAUAGUGAUCCGGUGGUUCUGAAUGGAAGGGCCAUCGCUCAACGGAUAAAAGGUACUCCGGGGAUAACAGGCUGAUACCGCCCAAGAGUUCAUAUCGACGGCGGUGUUUGGCACCUCGAUGUCGGCUCAUCACAUCCUGGGGCUGAAGUAGGUCCCAAGGGUAUGGCUGUUCGCCAUUUAAAGUGGUACGCGAGCUGGGUUUAGAACGUCGUGAGACAGUUCGGUCCCUAUCUGCCGUGGGCGCUGGAGAAUUGAGGGGGGCUGCUCCUAGUACGAGAGGACCGGAGUGGACGCAUCACUGGUGUUCGGGUUGUCAUGCCAAUGGCAUUGCCCGGUAGCUAAAUGCGGAAGAGAUAAGUGCUGAAAGCAUCUAAGCACGAAACUUGCCCCGAGAUGAGUUCUCCCUGACUCCUUGAGAGUCCUGAAGGAACGUUGAAGACGACGACGUUGAUAGGCCGGGUGUGUAAGCGCAGCGAUGCGUUGAGCUAACCGGUACUAAUGAACCGUGAGGCUUAACCUU
rnacentral:rRNA from 1 species